rnacentral:rRNA from 1 species
UACGAAGGGGGCAAGCGUUGUUCGGAAUCACUGGGCGUAAAGGGCGCGUAGGCGGGCUGCCGCGUCCGGGGUGAAAUCCCACGGCUCAACCGUGGAACGGCCCCGGGUACGGGCGGCCUCGAGGGGGUAGGGGCGUGCGGAACUGUGGGUGGAGCGGUGAAAUGCGUUGAUAUCCACAGGAACUCCGGUGGCGAAGGCGGCACGCUGGACCCCCACUGACGCUGAGGCGCGAAAGCCAGGGGAGCGAACGGG